rnacentral:misc_RNA from 1 species
GAAACUGAAAAUAACAAAUUGAAAUCAUCAAUAAUCAGACCAAAACUAAACCGGUCUCCUAUGCUCUGUUUCGAAUUCAUUCCCUCCACGAAUAAUUUAUAUUACAAACACAACCCUGAAUCCAGAGAACUACAGCAUGUCACCAACUUCAAGAUGCAAUCUUCAAAUAAAACCAGAACUAGCUUGUCAUCAGUAAUUCACCCACACUCUAGUCCCUCUUAGCACUCUAAAAGUAAAAUCUUUUAGCAAGUGGAAUAACCUGAACAGGUCAGUAUAUUCUGUCACACAAAUGGGAAAUCUUUCAAGCAUAGAAAAUGUUUCAAUCUUAAGGCACAUUUCAACAACUG